UACGUAGGGGGCUAGCGUUGUCCGGAAUCAUUGGGCGUAAAGCGCGUGUAGGCGGCCCGAUAAGUCCGCUGUGAAAGUCCAGGGCUCAACCCUGGGAUGCCGGUGGAUACUGUCGGGCUCGAGUCCGGAAGAGGCGAGUGGAAUUCCUGGUGUAGCGGUGAAAUGCGCAGAUAUCUGGAGGAACACCAAUGGCGAAGGCAGCUCGCUGGGACGUGACUGACGCUGAGACGCGAAAGCGUGGGGAGCAAACAGG
rnacentral:rRNA from 1 species